rnacentral:rRNA from 1 species
UUAAUUAAAACAUAUAGUAUUACUUAUCACGAAGUUGAAGGAGCUAAUUAUUAUAUAUUUAUAGAUUACAAUAUGUUGCAUAAUUAAAUAAAUAAUAAUUAGGAGUGAUAGGCUUAUCAUAUUCAACGAUAACUUGAUGGUUUAAAAAAGUAUAUAGUACAUAAGCACUCUUUAAAUGAUAAGGUUUAAAGGGUAUAACAAAUGUUUAUAAUAUAAACAUUAUAUGGUUUAAUAAUUAAUAUAGUAGUAAUAUAAUAUUAAUUUAUUGUCAUUGUUUACAAUAUAAACCUAUUUUAAAACAAUAUUUUGAUAUAUAAUGUUAAUAUUAGUACUUAAGAGUUGUAUAUAAUAAACUCGGCAAGAAGUCUUUCAACUGUUUAUCAAAAACAUAGCUGUAUGAUUAAAUAUACAGUGUUUUCUGCUCAAUGAAUUUUAAAUAGCCGCAGUACCCUGACUGUGCUAAGGUAGCGCAAUAAAUUGACUUUUAAAUGAAGUCCUGUAUGAAAGAAAUUAUGGGGGACUACUUUCUCAUUUACAAUUAAAGAAUUUAAUUAUGAAGUGCAAAUUCUUCUAUAUAAAUAAUAGACGAGAAGACCCUAGAAAUUUUAAAGAAGUAACUUUUUGUUGGGGCAACAAAGUAGUAUAAUAAUCUACUAUUAUGACACGAACGAUAUAUCUUGAUAGAUUAAAUUACUCUAGGGAUAACAGCAUAAUUUAUAAUAGUUUGUGACCUCGAUGUUGGAUUAGGGAAUUUACAUUUAGAAG